UACGAAGGGGGGCUAGCGUUGCUCGGAAUCACUGGGCGUAAAGGGGUGCGUAGGCGGGUCUUUAAGGUCAGGGGUGAAAUCCUGGAGCUCAACUCCAGAACUGCCUUUGAUACUGAAGAUCUUGAGUUCGGGAGAGGUGAGUGGAACUGCGAGUGUAGAGGUGAAAUUCGUAGAUAUUCGCAAGAACACCAGUGGCGAAGGCGGCUCACUGGUCCGGUACUGACGCUGAGGUGCGAAAGCGUGGGGAGCAAACAGG
rnacentral:rRNA from 1 species